rnacentral:tRNA from 6 species
CGGGGCGUGGCGCAGCCUGGCUAGCGCGCUUGGUUCGGGACCAAGAGGUCGCGAGUUCGAAUCUCGCCGCCCCGA